rnacentral:rRNA from 1 species
AACGAACGUUAGCGGCGCGCUUAACACAUGCAAGUCGUGCGAGAAAGGGGCAACCCCGGUAAAGCGGCGCACGGGUGAGUAACACGUAGGUAAUCUACCUCCAGGUGGUGGAUAACCUUCCGAAAGGAGGGCUAAUACAGCAUGAGACCACGAUUUCGAAAGAGAUUGAGGUCAAAGUCGGCCUCUUCAUGAAAGCUGACGCCAGGAGAUGAGCCUGCGGCCCAUCACGGUAGUUGGUAGGGUAAUGGCCUACCAAGCCAAAGACGGGUAGCUGGUCUGAGAGGAUGAUCAGCCACACUGGAACUGAGACACGGUCCAGACUCCUACGGGAGGCAGCAGUGGGGAAUCUUGCGCAAUGGGCGAAAGCCUGACGCAGCGACGCCGCGUGAGUGAUGAAGGCCUUCGGGUUGUAAAGCUCUGUGGAGGGGGACGAAUAAGUCGGAGCGAAUAGCUCCGAUGAUGACGGUACCCCUUUAGCAAGCACCGGCUAACUCUGUG